rnacentral:rRNA from 1 species
UACGGGGGGGGCAAGCGUUGUUCGGAAUUACUGGGCGUAAAGGGCUCGUAGGCGGCCAACUAAGUCGGACGUGAAAUCCCCAGGCUCAACCUGGGAACUGCGUCCGAUACUGGAUGGCUUGAAUUCGGGAGAGGGAUGCAGAAUUCCAGGUGUAGCGGUGAAAUGCGCAGAUAUCAGGAAGAACACCCGUGGCGAAGGCGGCUCUCUGGGACGGUACUGACGCUGAGACGCGAAAGCGUGGGGAGCGAACAGG